rnacentral:tRNA from 1 species
GGAAGGGUGGCAGAGCGGGCGAUUGCGGCGGUCUUGAAAACCGCUGGGGGUAUAGCGCCCUCCGUGGGUUCGAAUCCCACCCCUUCCGCCA